AUCGGAUGGAUCCGAAGGAUCGGAUGGAUCCGAAGGAUCGGGUCCAUCCGAUCCUUCGGAUCCAUCCGAUCCUUCGGAUCCAUCCGAUCCAUUGGAUCCAUCCGAUCCUUCGGAUCCAUCCGA